AUGGUUCCCUUGAAGAUCGAGGCUGUGGCCUUUCGAGACAGAGACGUGUAUCACUGUGCUCUGAGACCCACACUGGGGCAGAGCUGCAUCUCCGGCAGUGCUGCGCUGGGUGACUCGGUCCAGUCCGAGGAACCCCAAGUGUCUGGAGUAGAAGGAGGCUCGGUGACAUUCAGCUGUUCCUACAAUACCACCGAUUCUAGGGGCGUCUCUCUCUACUGGUACCGACAGUCUCCUACCCGAGCCCCGCAGCACAUUCUGCGGAGAGGGACGAAGUUGUACACGUCUGACAGCGAAAAUGCUGGUUUCGCCCAGGAGAGGUUUUCUUCCCAGGCUGCUAACAGCUCCACCGUUCUGAACAUCACAGCCCUGGAGCUGGCGGACACAGCGGUGUAUCUCUGCGCCCUGCAGCGGGCACAGUGA